GACGAACCGUCCAAACGUUAUUCGGAAUCACUGGGCUUACAGAGUUCGUAGGCGGUCCCAAAAGUUAGGUGUGAAAUCCCUCGGCUCAACCGAGGAACUGCGCUUAAAACUGUGGGACUCGAGGGAGAUAGAGGAAAGCGGAACUGAUGGUGGAGCGGUGAAAUGCGUUGAUAUCAUCAGGAACACCGGAGGCGAAGGCGGCCCACUGGGUCUUUUCUGACGCUGAGGGACGAAAGCUAGGGUAGCGAACGGG
rnacentral:rRNA from 1 species